GAUCUAUGUUAUGAUAAACUUAAUCUGUGCUUAGGAGCACCUGAAUUCACUGGUAGAGGGAGGGAGAGACUAACACAGAUUAAGUUUAUCAUAACAUAGAUCACUGCACUGAAUACAGAUAAAACAUUUAUCGUGGAUGCUGAAGAAUAAGUUAACUCUGGAAGAUAACCCUGUAAGGAUAAUAUUAUUCCAUCAGUGGACAAAGCAUCUCUUUGCAAGUUUCUUUCUGUAAAACAAUAAAAUAUUAGAUUAUUAAUCACUAACAAAUCAGAAGGUUCCAUCCGGGAUUGGUCAUUCA
rnacentral:misc_RNA from 1 species